GACGAACGCUGGCGGCGUGCUUAACACAUGCAAGUCGAACGGACAGGCCCUGCGUUUGUUGGGCGCUCGAUUGGCGAACGCGUGAGUAACACGCGAGUAACCUGCCCUUGACUUUGGGAUAACUCCAGGAAACUGGGGCUAAUACCGGAUAGGAGAUCCUGCUGCAUGGUGGGGGUUGGAAAGUUUCGGCGGUGCGGGCUGGACUCGCGGCUUAUGAGCUGCUUGGUGGGGUAGUGACGUACCAAGCCUAUGACGGAUAGCCGGCCUGAGAGCGGUACCGGCGACAUUGGGACUGAGAGACGGACCAGAAGGGUACGGGACGCAGCGGUGGGAAAUAUUGCACAGUGGCCGGAAGUGAGAUGUGGCAACGCCGCGAGCGGGAUGCCGGCUUUCGGGUUGUAAACCGCUGUCGACGGUACCGAGGCGUGAGUGACGGUAAUGAAUAAAGAAGCACCGGCUAACUACGUG
rnacentral:rRNA from 1 species